rnacentral:rRNA from 1 species
GACGGAGGGUGCUAGCGUUGUUCGGAUUUACUGGGCGUAAAGGGCGCGUAGGCGGCCUGGUCAGUCGGGUGUGAAAGCCCGGGGCUCAACCCCGGAACGGCACCCGAGACGGCCAGGCUGGAGACCGGGAGAGGAGGGUGGAAUAGCCAGUGUAGAGGUGAAAUUCGUAGAUAUUGGCUGGAACACCGGUGGCGAAAGCGGCUCUCUGGCCCGGUUCUGACGCUGAGGCGCGAAAGCGUGGGGAGCAAACAGG